rnacentral:rRNA from 1 species
CAGUCGCCGCGGGAAAACGUAGGGGGCAAGCGUUAUCCGGAAUAACUGGGCGUAAAGGGUGCGCAGGUGGUUUAACAAGUUAGUGGUGAAAGGCAUAGGCUCAACCAAUGUAAGCCAUUAAAACUGUUUAACUUGAGUGCAGGAGAGGAAAGUGGAAUUCCUAGUGUAGCGGUGAAAUGCGUAGAUAUUGGGAGGAACACCAGUGGCGAAGGCGGCUUUCUGGACUGCAACUGACGCUGAGGCUCGAAAGCCAGGGGAGCGAACGGGAUUAGAUACCCCCGUAGUCCCUGUCUCUUAUACA